CAUUAAUGCUAUGUAGUACUACUAAAUGAAUGUAAAAUAAACUAGGUUAGUUAUCAAUGCUAUGUAGUACUACUAAAUGAAUG